CAAAGUGACUUCCAACAAGACAGGGGUAAAAGAACCUGAGCUAGAGUCCAGACAACCAAAUCUGUUAAAGGUAGAAUAUGGUGAUGGGUGCUGUGCAAGAAGAAGGAGGGAAGAAGGAAGCUGAGUGUGCAGCAAAGACACCUGCAGGGACACAUAGAACCAGGCAUUUGCUGAAGGACACCUGGAUUGCACAACCAGCGGCUAACUUGCAUGAAAAAACAUUCUAGGUGGUUUUGCUUAAUGUUGGUCUCUCCAACUGUGCUACAAGCUCCAUGAGGUGAAGGACCAAGUUAAUUGUGUCUUCCAUGGUAUGUCCCAGUCCUGCCACUUUAGGCAUUUUAAAUAUUUGCUGAAUAUUGUUUGAAUAAAUAAUUUGUGGAGAAUUGGAAGAGAUUUGUGGGAUAAAUAUUUUUAUAUGGCAUGUGGUUGAACCUGCAUAUGCUUUUCUAUUUUAACAAUAUUGUCAUUGGGACUGUAGAAUUUGACUCAUAAACAUCACUUUGCUUUUCUUGGAAUUCUAAUUCAUAUUUACAGUUUCAAAUGUCACCUCUCUUUUAAGUUCCACGUCAACAUAUUUGCCUAAUCCUUGGAUGUCCUGCCAUUUGAACUUGAAAUGUCUAAAAUCUAAUUUGUCAUUUUUUAAAACUGACUCAAAUAAUAAUCUCACGUGUUUCCUAUGUUCUAGGUCAGAAAAUUGUACACAACUUAAAUUUUUCCUUUUGCUUCCUAUGUCUGUUCAUAACUAUAUCUUAUUAGCCAUGAAGUUGUGUUUUUCUGUUCCUUUUUAUAUUUUUUGCAUAUUCAUUUCUUUUCCAUCCCUGUCCUGGAAGCCCUGACUACCUGACAACCACUACAUCCUGGUUCCCUUGGCUUUCCUUUCUCUUCUUUCCAGA
rnacentral:lncRNA from 10 species